rnacentral:rRNA from 1 species
GACGAACGCUGGCGGCGUGCCUAAUACAUGCAAGUAGAACGCAGUUGCGAACGGGUGAGUAACGCGUCGGUAACUGCCUCAUAGCGGGGGAUAACUAUUGGAAACGAUAGCUAAUACCGCAUACUGUGAGAUGGACCUGCGUUGUAUUAGCUAGUUGGUGAGGUAAAGGCUCACCAAGGCGACGAUACAUAGCCGACCUGAGAGGGUGAUCCGCAACACUGGGAAUGGGAAACGGGCCAGACUUCCUCCGGAGGCAGCAGGAGGGAAUCCUUGGAAAAUGACCGAAGGCCUGCCGAGCCAAGGCCGGUUAUGGAAGGAGGUUUUUCGGGUGUAAAGCUCUGUUGUUAGAGAAGCGGUAACUAACCAGAAAGGGACGGCUAACUACGUGCCAGCCGCCGCGGUAAUAC